rnacentral:rRNA from 1 species
GACGAACGCUGGCGGCGUGCUUAACACAUGCAAGUCGAACGGAAAGGCCUUUUCGGAGGUACUCGAGUGGCGAACGGGUGAGUAACACGUGGGUGAUCUGCCCUGCACUCUGGGAUAAGCCUGGGAAACUGGGUCUAAUACCGGAUAGGACCGCACUUUAGUGUGUGUGGUGGAAAGUUUUUUCGGUGUAGGAUGAGCCCGCGGCCUAUCAGCUUGUUGGUGGGGUAAUGGCCUACCAAGGCGGCGACGGGUAGCCGGACUGAGAGGUUGGUCGGCCACAUUAGGACUGAGAUACGGCCCAGACUCCUACGGGAGGCAGCAGUGGGGAAUAUUGCACAAUGGGCGCAAGCCUGAUGCAGCGACGCCGCGUGGGGGAUGACGGCCUUCGGGUUGUAAACUCCUUUCGCCAGGGACGAAGCGUUUUGUGACGGUACCUGGAGAAGAAGCACCGGCUAACUACGUG